AACGAACGCUGGCGGCAUGCCUAACACAUGCAAGUCGAACGAGUCCUUCGGGUCUUUUGGCGCACGGGUGCGUAACGCGUGGGAACCUGCCUUUAGGUUCGGCAUAACUCCGCGAAUUUUGAGCUACUACCGGAUGAUGUCUUUGGACCGAAGAGUUAUCGCCUUUCGUUGGGGCCGUGUUGGAGUUGCUAUUUGGUGGGGUUAUGGCCUACCAAGGGGUCGAUCCAUAGCUGGUUGGAGAGGAUGAUCGGCCACGCCGGGACUGGGACGCGGCCCAGGCUCGUACGGGAGGAAGCAGUGAGGAAUAUUGGAGAAUGGGCGAAAGCCUGAUCCAGCAAUGCCGCGUGAGAGAUGAAGUCGUUGGUGAAGUAAAGCUCGUUUACCCGGGAGGAUAAUGACGGAGUCGGGAGAAUAAGCGCCGGCUAACUACGUG
rnacentral:rRNA from 1 species